rnacentral:rRNA from 1 species
AGUUAACGCUGGCGGUAGGCCUAACACAUGCAAGUCGAACGGCAGCACAGUAAGAGCUUGCUCUUACUGGUGGCGAUUGGCGGACGGGUAGGGAUUCCACGGAACUUUCUUUUUCCGUGGGGAUUACCUAGGGGAACCUUCCCUUAUACCCCCUUCGUCCUUCUGGUUGAAACAGGGGAAUUUUCGAACUUUCUCGAUUUUAUUGUCCGGUUUCGGAUUAGCUAGUUGGCGGGGUAAAGGCCCACCAAGGCGACGAUCCGUAGCUUGUCUGAGAGGAUGAUCAGCCACACUGGAACUGAGACACGGUCCAGACUCCUACAGGAGGCAGCAGUGGGGAAUAUUGGACAAUGGGCGCAAGCCUGAACCAGCCAUACCGCGUGGGUGAAGAAGGACUUCGGGUUGUAAAGCCCUUUUGUUGGGAAAGAAAAGCAGCAGGUUAAUAACCCGCUGUACUGACGGUACCCAAAGAAUAAGCACCGGCUAACUACGUG